AUUGAACGCUGGCGGCAGGCUUAACACAUGCAAGUCGAGCGGGGGAAGGUAGCUUGCUACUGGACCUAGCGGCGGACGGGUGAGUAAUGCUUAGGAAUCUGCCUAUUAGUGGGGGACAACAUCUCGAAAGGGAUGCUAAUACCGCAUACGUCCUACGGGAGAAAGCAGGGGAUCUUCGGACCUUGCGCUAAUAGAUGAGCCUAAGUCGGAUUAGCUAGUUGGUGGGGUAAAGGCCUACCAAGGCGACGAUCUGUAGCGGGUCUGAGAGGAUGAUCCGCCACACUGGGACUGAGACACGGCCCAGACUCCUACGGGAGGCAGCAGUGGGGAAUAUUGGACAAUGGGGGGAACCCUGAUCCAGCCAUGCCGCGUGUGUGAAGAAGGCCUUAUGGUUGUAAAGCACUUUAAGCGAGGAGGAGGCUACUCUAGUUAAUACCUAGGGAUAGUGGACGUUACUCGCAGAAUAAGCACCGGCUAACUACGUGCCAGCCGCCGCCGUAA
rnacentral:rRNA from 1 species